UUCACUGUUAAUAAAGACAUUUCAAAACAAAAUCUGUUCUUAUCAGUUUAAUAUCUGAUACCUCCUCUAUCAGGGGUCUAAAUAUUUAACAGAUUUUUGGAACAGGGAGUCAGAGAAGAAGCUUGCUCCAUCCACUCCAAGCAUUGAGUAUCCAAGUAUUGUAGUGCAUUCUAGAAUGGUGCGUCUCUC